rnacentral:rRNA from 1 species
UACGUAGGCAGCGAGCGUUGUUCGGAGUUACUGGGCGUAAAGGGUGUGUAGGCGGUUUUUUGAGUUUGGUGUGAAAUCUCCCGGCUCAACUGGGAGGGUGCGCCGAAUACUGAAUGACUUGGAGUGCGGGAGAGGAAAGUGGAAUUCCUGGUGUAGCGGUGAAAUGCGUAGAUAUCAGGAGGAACACCGGUGGUGUAGACGGCUUUCUGGACCGUAACUGACGCUGAGACACGAAAGCGUGGGUAGCAAACAGG